CUUCGCUCAUCACGUACCAAUACAAUGGAGUAGAAGGACAAACCACAGCGUCACCAAGGGAGGAAUUUAUCCCAGGAAAAGCCAAGAAACGAUGUGUCAGGGUCUGUGCUAGAUGGGGUAAAUUUGGUGUCUGUUUGGAAUGGAGAUGUAGUUAAAUGCUUUCGAGACGGAAAGACAAUACAUCAUGUCUGCUUUGGAUUUAACCUGAAAUCCUAGCGUAAUUAAAAUUAAUUGAACUGCUUAA